AGACUAGGUCCCACAAAAAAAAAAAAAGGAAAAGGAUAUGCAGGGAGUGUGUUGAUUGUUUUGGCCUAGGGACUGUCUUAGAGUGCUGAACAGAGAGUGGACUUUGUACAAGAGAUGGGCACCUAAGAGCUGACUCACACAUGAGUCAGUUUUACCCAACAAAUCUCUUCCUUAGUCUUUAUCUGUGAUGCAAAGACUUGGUCCUACAAAAAAAAGGAAAAGGAUAUGCAGGGAAUGUGUUAAUACUUAGUUACAGGACUGUCUUUAUGCAUUGAUGAGAGAGUUGACUUUGUACAAGAGAUGGGUGUCUAAGAGCUGAACCCCUAAAAAGAAGUCAGUUUCACCCAGCCAAUUUCUUCCUUAGUCUUAAUCUGUGAUGCAAAGACUUGGUCCCACAAAAAAGGAAAAAGAUAAGCAGUGAGUGUGUUGAUUGUUUUGGCCAAUGGACUGUCUUUACACGCUCAGAACAGAGAGUGGACUUUGUGCAAGAGAUGGGUGGCUAAAAGCUGACCCUCAAUGGCAUCGCUCCCACACAACAUAUCUCUUCCUUGGUCUUGAUCUGUGGUGCCAUGACCUCCUGAACUGAUCAUGGACUUUGCACAAGAGAUGGGUGACUGAAAGAUUGUAGGAACUCUUAGUUGGACCAAAGAGUUCGCCGUGCUCUCAAGUGGGCGGACAGCUUGGGGAAAGAUGUAUUGGUAAUGUCCAAUUCAAAGAGUUGUGGUUUUUUGCAGGGAUGUGUUUUGUGACAGUCACUCUGCAGUUGUGGUGCACAGUUUAAGACGCCUGCGCAUUUAUUUCAUUUUGUGUGAUGACCUCAAACAAGAGACCAUGGACAAAUAAUCAA